rnacentral:rRNA from 1 species
AUUGAACGCUGGCGGCAGGCCUAACACAUGCAAGUCGAGCGAGCGGCGGGCGGGUGAGUAAUGUAUGUGGGCUGCCCGAGAGGGAGGGAUAACGGCAGGGGGCGGUGGCUAAUACCACGUACUGUCGGGUAAGCCAUGUGGGAUUAGCUAGUAGGUAAGGGAAUGGCUUACCUAGGCGACGAUCCCUAGCUGGUCUGAGAGGAUGAUCAGCCACACUGGGACUGAGACACGGUCCAGACUCCUACGGAGGCAGCAGUGGGGAAUAUUGCACAAUGGGCGCAAGCCUGAUGCAGCCAUGCCGCGUGUAUGAAGAAGGCCCUCGGGUUGUAAAGUACUUUCAGUCGGGAGGCGUUACCGACAGAAGAAGCACCGGCUAACUCCGUGCCAGCAGCCGCGGUAAUAC